UUUGAUAGUUAGUUUAAUAAAAAAAUAUAAUAUAUGUUUAGAUGAACCAACUUAUUUUCUAAAUAUUCUAACAAACAUCUUAGCAAGGAUAAGUAGCUACAAAAAAAAUUAAAAAAAAAUGAAGAACUGAUUUAAGUCUUGGAGUUGAGGAAACUCUCUCUCCCCUCCGUUCUCUCUCUAAAAAUCUUUCACAGAGGUGUUGAUGAGAGAAGUUCAAGGUUUUGCUGGUUUCUUCUCCGGCUCUGACUCCCGGUGAUCGGGCUUCGAUUCUGGCAAGCGUCGGCUUCUUCAGCGGCGACUUGGCCGGCUUUUCUUCCGGCAAGCGAUGGCUUCUUCAGUGUUGCUUGGCUGGCUCUGUCUCCGGCAUGCGAUGGCUUCCAAAGCACCGUUCAUGGCCGGCUUAUCUUUUAACUUUCAUCGCUCAUCUCCGAUGUCUGUUCUUGUUCAGAUCCGGUUUUUCCGGUUUCAUUUUCUCGUUUUUAGUUUUUCUCUUGAGCGUUUUAAAGAUCUGUUGCUGUUGACGUUUAUUCUAAUCUUGAGCUUUCUGUUCCGGUAGAGUGCUCGAUUAGACAUCCGACGGUAAUUUUGGAGCCGGUAAAGUCGACGGCGUCUCUGCUUCUGAAUCACCUGGUUCUCCUUUGCUUACGGCAAGGCAUGUGGCUAUGUUUUGUCUUUGCGGAGAUGCAUUUUUCACCAUUUGGGCUUUAAUGGUUGGGCUGUGAUGUGCCUCUCUUUUAUAUUUUCGUAUGGGUCUUGUCGUGUUAGGCAUUUUUUCCUUUUCUUUUGUUUUUGCUGACCGUUUGGUCUUAUUAAUAAAACGAGAUGGAAAAAAAAAGUAGCUACAAAAAAAUAUAUUAUAAUGCUUCUUAAUUAAUAUACAAAUGAUUCAUUUAGAGGAAAUGUAAUUAAAUAUGUAUAUUGCUCUUUGACGUCGUCAUAACCACUGAAUAAAGUAAUUUCACAGGCGAGAAAACAGCAAAUUAUUUCACUACAACUUAUUUUAUAUAGCCGACCAUCCAUAAUGAUUACUCUUAAAAUGUUAGUUCUCCUAUUUAAGUGACACCACUGGUUGUUGUCCUAUACGGUUUGGUUGCACUACGAAAAAAGUAUAGUUUACCUAAAUAUAGGAGGACUUGGAAAUUUCUGUUAUAUAAUUAAAGCGAUUCUAGUGUAACUUUUGCUUAGAAACCCGAGGCUUGAAAAUUAAUAAAUUGAUGCUUGUGAAGUGCGUAGAUAAUGGAUCUUUGGUCUAGUUGUAUUAAAUCUACACAUGUAUUCAUUACUUACGUAUUAAUGUGGGUGUUUAUUACUUAUUACAUUGGACCGGUUGAGUGAAGUUUGUAAGUUUUUUUUCAUUACUUAUUACAAACUUUACUUCAUGGAUUUUAAGUAUAAUGUUUCUGCAUUUGAUGUGUUCAGAUUAAAGUCGCAAGUUAACUGAUGUGGCGUCGCUCUAUACUUACAUUUUGAGCUGCAAAACAUGUUUCUUUAGAAAAAAAAAAUCUAUAGAAAAAAAAGCCCUGAUAUGUUUUAUGGCCGAAUGACUUAGACCCAAUCCGCGCAAGCUUGUGAUAUUUUGAAAGAAAUCAAGACAAUAAUCUGCAGAUUAUGCGACAGAUCUCAUAUAACUUCCCGACCACUACUUUUGGACAUUAAUUUUGGAUAAUGUUAAACGCCAAAGGGAUUGGUGAGUGUGACAUUAUUGUUUGUAGAAUAAUAAUUAAAUUUAAUACUCGAAAUAUGACAUAUUCUUCAACUAAAACUAAAGUAGGUAGUGGGUUUUCUUUACAUUCUUGAAUCAUUUUUAUAGUUGAAAUAAAUGAUUUCCAUAAUCAUAGAAUACAAACUAUCGAAAGUGGCACCCGUAUCACGAAUCUGGUGUUGUUUUAUUCGUUUGGCUAUUAAAAUAGUGUGGAUUAAUGAUACUAUUGCUUGUUCCUUUAGAUUCUGGACUUUCCUCUUCGUUGGUUUCAUAACUUUUUAUUUCUUUUCAAUAAACUUCUUUUCUAUCCCCUCUCGUCAUAUUUACCUACUAUCUACUCUCGUCUCUCAGGAACUUUUUUUUUUUUUUGAUAAUCAUGAUUAAGUUUAAUUUAAAAAUAUAACCUCUCUCAGGAACUUUUUAUAACAUAAGGGAAAAUUUGUACCGUUGAGAAACUCAACCAGUUUGUUAAAGUUAUAUAUAUUAAUAUUUAACAAUUAAACUAUUAAACCAUUUUUACCAAAAUAUUAACCGUCGACAUGUGGCGUUAAAAUUUCUCAUGGAUUUGCAAAUGUUUUUCAGUGGAGAAACUACCUCUUGUUAAUAAUAUUUCUGGAAAAGGUCUCUGAAACCUCCUCUGAUAUAAUGGUCUAAGUCAAUGUAUAACAAUCUAAAUAAAAAUAUGAUAUGUGAGGAAUUGUACAAUGUUUAAUUCUGUGAUAUUAUACAAACAUUAUCAUUUUAGCUUUUGUGUAUUUUUAUAUCAACACACCAGUUUCUUCCUAAUUUAUGGAUUUCAUGUGGUCAAAUAGAUAUUGAACCAAUUAUAUAUAGAGAAUAUUACACUACUCUAAGGCAGUUUCUAAGUUUCUAAUAACACAAUGAGUCACAUUCAGCUACUAGGACAGUUUCUUCUAACUAAUCCAUUUUUCUCCACUUGUACCUAAUCAAUAUAGUUCAUCCGUAACUACUCAUAGGAAAAGCCCAACUAGUUUAUUGGCGGGAACCUAUAUCCACCGCACAUCUCCCCCCCCCCAUCCAACGUCCCAUAAUAAAUCUGUCAUAUAUGACAAGACAUAUAUCUGUCUAAAUUCUCACCCUUUAGAUUUACUUUUUGUCUUUUACUUUUUACGGCCCAGAUUUAAUUUGUUAUUCUCCCUUCUUCAUCUUCAUCGUUUUGUUUCAAACUUUUUUUUUAGAAAGAAUAGACACCGUAAUCUACAGCUUUGUUUAUAUUUGGCCACAAAUUAACUUCCGCUAAACUUGUGGUUAGUUUUCUAACAUCCAAUUAUCAAAAUUAAUUCAUUUUCUCUGUUAUAUUAAUUAAUCCAAUUAUGAACAUGUAUGAGCUGUUUUGAAGACGAUUUUAUCAUUUAUGCCCACCCCUACUGAUAUUCAAUAAGUUCAGGUCCGCUUAUCCAAAUCUGAGUUUUUGACAUCAGCUACGAGUAAUUAGUACACAUUGUCUUUUAGCAUGUGUACAUCUUAGUUACGUCCACAUGUACACAUUUUUCACAACGUCCGGGGUUGUACAUUUGUGCCUGUCUAUAUGUACAACUUUGUUUCACAGGCUGAAUUGUAAUUUGAGAGAACACGUAUGAACAUGUAUAAGCUGGUUUGAAGACGCUUUAACAUUUUAUGUCCACCUUAACUGAUACCCAAUAUGUUCGGUUACCAUGUGUAUUACUUUAUCACGUCCACAUGUACAUGCAUUUAUCUACCUCGUGGUUGUACAUGUAUUUAAUAUAGGUUGGUUUUAGUGUACAAUACCUCUUGAUUUGUACUUACACAUGUUCUUUAGUCACACACACAUUUAUCUAAGGGUGCUUUCUUUGAACAAAAGCUGUUUCGUCCAAACAACACAAAUACUACAAUAUCCGUCCUUACACAAUAUGUUCUUUAAACACAAAUACUACAAAAGGCAAAAUACGUCCUCCCGUUCUAUAAUAUCCCAACAACACAAAAUACACCCUCCCUUUUAAACCAAACAACGCAUAGAUGUCUACAAUUAUCACAAGUACAAAGGCACAACCCAAUCCGUGUAAAUCUCCAUCGCAUACUACUUCCUAAAUAUAUCCACCAAGUCAUGUCAGGUGAAGACAUUAUUAACCGACGAUGUUUAUUAAUUUGUUGACAAGUUUGAGUGAACGCGAGUACAUGGUUGAUUAGAAACUGUGUACAAUCAGUAGGCAGUGUACGUAAAUGUAUCAGUGUACAUGACGCAUACUCAUGAACAAGUCCACGAGUACAUGUAUCAUUUAACAGGGUUGUGAUGGCCAAUGUAAUGAACAUAUAAUAGAAUCGAAGAAUAGUUUCAUGGGAAAUGGUGUGUAUUUGUUGUGUAAGAUACAUAAUUGUGUACGUAUAUUUCUCCGUCGUUGAUGUAUACCAUAGAAAUAAGACCAUCCACAACGAUUUGAAGCUUGAGAAUAUGUAUAGUUUCAUAUGUGCACACAUGUACAACUCAGAUAAUGUACACAUGAAAUUUUGUUAGACAAUGUAUAUAUAUGUUAGACGCUGUACACAUGAAGUAUUGUACAUGUGGAUAGUAAAUUUUAUGUGUACAGAUGAACGUUAUAAAAAUCAAACUAAAACUAUGUCUUCAAAAGCCAACAACAAGAAAACAUUAACAGACAAACAAAGAAUAUGCAAAGGGAUAAACAUCGAGAAAGUAUACAUAGAUUGAUGAUUCAAUUUCUUAGUCAUUGAUGUAUACCUAGGAAUAAGACCAUCCAUAACAAUUUGAAGCUUGAAAAUAUGUAUAGCUUCAUACGUGUACACAUAUACAACUCAGAUAGUGUACACAACCAAUUUUCUCAGUACACAUAAUUAAAGAAAAUUGCUAGACACCACAUAAUACGUGUUCACAACGCUCAUUCAUUCACAUGUCCAUAUGUACAGCCAAACACACAUUCGUUUACAAGUCCACAUGUACAUAUAUACAGAACCACCCUAGUAUGUUGUGUAAGCUUCUCACCAACAUAAUUCAACAGUUUCUACUCAUUGUCACCACCUAAACGCUUAAGCAAAGCUGGGAUAGCUUAAAACGCCCAAAACUGAAGGCUUCCAAAGCAAGACCUCAACAAUAGGGCCAUCUCCUCCGUGUCGUUCAGUGCGUCUCUAACGCACGUAGAUUAUCAAUCUCCGAGUACAUAUUGAUCCUCUCGCAUGGGUACCGAUCCGUUGCAAAGAGCCUUUCUGGGAGACUUCCCUUUACAUCUUCUACCGCCACUGUUUCUAUCCAACAAAGAGAAUCAGGCUAAAAAAAAACAACAUCAAAAUUAACCAAUCUAGCCAUCAAAGCAAAACUGAAGUUAACUCACCGUCAGCUAUCUCUUUUCCCCGCAGACUCCGCUGCCGAGACAUGCCUUUAACGUCGUUACGCCUCACCAUUUUUUUUUCGUCGUUACGCCUCACCAUCUCUUUACCUCGCAGACUCCGCUGUCGUGACAUCUUGUUCUCGUCGCCGAACCUCGCCGUCGAUUUUUAGACACGUUAUCGCCUUUUCAGUUUCUCCCUCUGGUCUCGAUAAAAGCCAAAGUGAAAGAGAAUAAUUUCCCUUACAAAUCCGUAUUUAAUAUUUAUAAUAAUUGAAAGUGGGAUUUUUUACGCUUGUGGGCCCAUCACACCGAUUUUGAAUUUUGAAAAUCCAACAAACAAACUAAGAAACGAGAAAAGGGGAAAACUGGUUAGGUUUUACUAAGGGCAAGUUGGGUCUUUUCACAUAGAAACUGCCUCAGUAGCGGAAAGUGUCUUUUUAUGACAUGGAAACAUGGAAACUGUCCUAGAGUGAAAAUAACUCUAUAUUGGCACUUAUAAAUUAAACUUGUUCGUGUGUGGUAGCGUUUGUUUAGGUUUUGUUUGCUAGUGUAGUUCUCUUAUUGUUAGCAAACUAUAUUGAUGUGAAGUUUAAAUGCAUUUAUACGUUUUUCAAAUAUUGUUAAAAUAGCAAUCUCUAUGUUAAUUCAAGACAUUGCAAAUAUAUAAAAGAACUACUUUGUUACAUUGCAAAUAUAUAAAAGAACUACUUUGGUACAAAAAAAGAACAAUCUAAGUUACAUUAUAUUCCAUCUAAGAUAUGGGUACAAACUGGGUACAAAGCACAAACCCGACAAGAGUCAAUAUCAAUUGAUUCAAUUCUGUAAUUCACAUAUUGUCAUUUUUGGUCAACCACCCUAUUAUCAAGUUGAACCUUUCUUAAUAUUCUUAUUGCAACUGCAAAAGAUUCCAUAAUAGUUCCCUACUCAAUUAUAUUUUAAGAAUUUUAUCAUUUUAUGGUAACUAUUUUUGUAAACAAAACAUUUGACUAUUUAAAAAAAAAACAAAGCAUACAUGUUCAUAUAGUCAUCAAGUAUGGUACUUGAUGUAUAUAUAUGUUUUUUUACUUCUCUCUAAUAGCCAUAUUCAACUUUUAGGUCUUGAUUUCAUGAUAUCAUCUAACUAACGCAAGUGCAAGUUGAUGGAUUAAAGAAAACUUUCUUUUUGGAAAAAAAAACUUAACUAUUCCGUCAAAAUAAGAGACAAAACAAAGUUCAAAAGAAAAAAAAAUCCGGCAAAACUAGUGAAUCGCACUAAUUCCAAAGAGAAUUCUACAAUUUGUCUUUUUUCCACUUCUCAACUCCCACUAAUAAACCCGAAAAGUCAUUACGUAAUAAUUUCAUUUUGCGCACUAUUAUUUAAAACUAAUGCUAGUAAAUUUCAAUGUGUUACACAAAUUUUCCAAGACAAAUUGAUUUUAUAAUAUUUAAGGAAUAAAGGGAAAUAUCAAAUAUCGUUUUUGAUUGGUGCAUUCCCACCACGAGUGUCCUGAACGUGUCGUAAAACACAGCCGUCAGACUUGACAAAGCACAUUGCUUACAUGAUGAGCUAAAUAAUAAUAAUUGUGGUAAUACCACCGAAUAAUAAAUCUUUUUAGCGAUGAAUUAUUAAGUUACUCGUUUCACUGGGACAUAAUAACUAACUGUGGUAAAAAGAAAGCCAAUCACUCAAAGCAAAACAGUUUGAUUUACUGAAUUGUUAAAUGAUUUUGGAAAAUAAUAAUUAGUGAAUAAAAUCUCUAGGAAUAUAUUUUUUUUUUAAAAAAAAAAAUCUUACAAGAAUAAUAAUAUUUUUAAAAAAUAUCCGGGUACAGUUGUAUUUGUGAUAUGUGAAGCAGAGAAUCGGUUCCAAUAUAUUAUCCGAAAAUGUUUUAUUUAUUUUGUUUGAUUCUGCGAUAUUAUGGAAUCACACUCCGCCGAUUUGACCUUUCGUCCUUCUCUUUCUCUAAUCCAAUUCCAACCCCAAGCCAAGACGAAGAAGAGAACUCGCAGACGGAAACUUUCCCGGGAAAACUCCAGAAAAAAAAAACCGUUGGAAAAUGUGCGAGCCCGAUGAUAACACCGCCAGAAACGGCGCCACACCUCCACCGUCAAGGUCGAGGGAGGUUCUGAUGGAUGUGGAUGACUUGGAUCUCGACGGCUCGUGGCCUCUGGAUCAGAUCCCUUACUUAUCCUCAUCGAAUCGCAUGAUAUCUCCGCUUUUCGUCUCCUCUUCCUCCGAGCAGCCUUGCUCCCCUCUCUGGGCGUUCUCCGACGUCGGAGGUGCCGUUAACCACGGUGGCGACGAUGAGAAGAUCAGCUCCGCCUCCGGUGUUCCUUCGUUUCGUCUCGCCGAUUAUCCUCUCUUCCUCCCUUGUUAGUAGCCUCGCCGAACUUUAACUCUUCUCAUUCUUUCCCGAUAUAGAAUAUAUCAUAUUUCUAUUUUAAGCUUAUAGAACUUAUUUGAUCGUAAACCAAUGGAUUUGAUUUGAUUUGAUUUGAUUUGGCGUUUGACUUUGUUCUGCUUGGUACUGUUUUGAGUAUCUGAAGUCGUUGAAACUUUGCAGACUCUUCUUCACCAUCAGUGGCUGAGAACACCUUAGAGAAGCAUAACGGUUUCCAGUUUCCUUCUCCCUUGAUGAGCCUAGUCCCGCCGGAGAACACAGACAACUACUGUGUGAUCAAAGAGAGGAUGACUCAGGCGCUUCGUUACUUCAAAGAAUCAACCGAGCAACACGUUUUGGCUCAGGUCUGGGCUCCUGUGAGAAAGAACGGUCGUGAUUUGCUGACGACUUUGGGUCAACCUUUUGUUCUUAAUCCUAACGGUAACGGGCUUAAUCAGUACAGGAUGAUAUCUCUCACCUAUAUGUUUUCUGUGGAUAGUGAAAGUGACAUUGAGCUCGGGCUCCCGGGUCGGGUUUUCCGUCAGAAACUGCCUGAGUGGACCCCGAAUGUCCAGUACUAUUCCAGUAAAGAAUUUUCGCGGCUUGACCACGCUUUGCACUAUAACGUGCGGGGUACACUGGCGUUGCCUGUAUUUAAUCCCUCUGGUGAGUCCUGCAUAGGUGUUGUGGAACUUAUUAUGACCUCGGAGAAGAUUCACUAUGCACCCGAAGUGGACAGAGUUUGCAAAGCCCUUGAGGUUUGGUUCUCUUUCCUCCCUUCUGCACAACUCAAGCUUGCUCUGUUUUUUCUUUAUCUGAACUGAUUUAGAUAACUUUGUGUGAAUGGACUUGAGUUUUAAGUUGCAAUUCUUGCCUUGUUAGUCAUAUCUGUUCAUAAAAAAGUUGAUGUACGUCCGCCUGCCAUGUUGAAGCUCUAUCUCUCUAAAGCACAGUUUUUUCAUUGAUAAUAACAACAAAUGUAUAUCAGGAGCUUGCUGCGUCUAUCUUAGUUAUAGCUUCUUCAAUAUCUGUUAUAAUCUUGUAUUUGAAUAGUUCUGUGUUUUUGGCAGGCUGUAAAUUUGAAAAGCUCAGAAAUACUUGAUCACCAAACUACUCAGGUUAGCUACAAGUAAUUUUGUGAUUUGAUGAGUACCAUUUAGGCACUGAGUUCUCACUGUUUUCAGUUGACUUUGUAUUCGCAGAUAUGCAAUGAGAGUCGCCAAAACGCACUUGCCGAGAUUCUAGAAGUGCUAACAGUUGUAUGCGAGACCCAUAACUUGCCUCUGGCUCAGACGUGGGUUCCCUGUCAGCACGGGAGCGUUCUUGCCAAUGGUGGCGGUUUAAAGAAAAACUGCACCAGUUUUGACGGUAGCUGCAUGGGCCAAGUCUGCAUGUCCACAACCGACAUGGCCUGCUAUGUCGUGGAUGCUCAUGUCUGGGGAUUUAGAGAUGCCUGUCUUGAACACCAUCUCCAGAAAGGACAGGGAGUCGCUGGACGAGCUUUUCUCAACGGUGGCUCGUGUUUCUGUAGAGACAUCACCAAGUUCUGCAAAACGCAGUACCCGUUGGUCCAUUACGCGCUCAUGUUUAAGUUAACCACUUGUUUCGCAAUAUCUCUCCAGAGCUCUUACACAGGCGACGACAGUUACAUUCUUGAAUUCUUUCUUCCCUCGAGUAUGACAGACAACCAAGAGCAAGAUUCGCUUCUUGGUUCUCUUUUGGUGACAAUGAAAGAACAUUUUCAAAGUCUGAGGGUUGCAUCUGGGGUUGACUUUGGUGAAGAUGACGACAAAUUGUCUUUUGAGAUCAUCCAAGCAUUACCGGACGAGAAGAUCCAUUCAGAAAUAGAAUCUAUUCGAGUUCCGUUUUCUGGUUUCAAGUCAAACGCGACAGAGACGCUGUUGAUUCCUCAGCCUGCGGUUCAGUCGUCUGCUCCAGUGAACGGAAAAACCAACGUGGCCACUGUUAAUGGGGUGGUUAAGGAGAAGAAGAAAACAGAGAAAAAGCGCGGGAAGACUGAGAAAACGAUCAGUCUGGAUGUACUUCAGCAGUAUUUCACAGGAAGUCUCAAAGACGCUGCAAAGAGCCUAGGAGGUAGUUUUACAUCCAUGUACCGUUUCAUGUAUUGGUUACUUACUGGUAAGAUAUUUCAACUAAACUCUAGAUUGUUGUUGUCUCAGUUUGCCCGACGACAAUGAAGCGAAUUUGCAGACAACACGGAAUCUCACGGUGGCCAUCAAGAAAGAUCAAGAAAGUGAAUCGCUCGAUCACAAAGCUGAAACGCGUCAUCGAAUCUGUUCAGUGUACUGAUGGAGGCCUGGACCUGACUUCCAUGGCCGUUAGUUCCAUCCCUUGGACACACGGUCAAACAGCAGCACAUCCACUAAACUCACCCAACGGUUCCAAACCGCCCGAGCUACCAACCACCAACAAUUCACCUAACCACUGGUCAAGUGAUCAUCACAGUCCUCCCGAGCCAAACGGCUCGCCUGAGUUACCAAGCAAUGGUCAUAAGCGUUCACGGACGGGGGAUGAGAGCGCCGGGACACCAACCUCUCACGGUUCGUGUGACGGUAACCAGUUAGAUGAAACAAAAGUCCCAAACCAAGAUCCGCUGUUCACGGUAGGUGGACCACCGGGGCUAUUCUUUCCACCUUAUUCUAGAGAUCAUGACGUAUCCGCAGCAUCAUUCGCAAUGCCGAACAGGCUUCUUGGUACUAUAGACCAUUUUCGUGGAAUGCCCAUUGAAGACGCUGGAAGCUCAAAAGAUUUGAGAAAUCUCUGCUCCACUGCAGCAUUCGACGAUAAGUUUCCAGACUCAAACUGGAUGAACAAUGAUAAUAACAGCAACAACAACAUGUACGCUCCUCCAAAGGAAGAGGAGGUGGCAAAUAUUACACGCGAACCACCAUCAGGGUCCGAAAUGAGAACGGUAACCAUCAAGGCAAGUUACAAAGAAGACAUAAUACGGUUUAGGAUAUCCUCUGGUUCGGGUAUAAUGGAAUUGAAGGAUGAAGUGGCGAAGAGGCUGAGACUCGACGCCGGUACGUUCGAUAUCAAGUAUCUUGACGAUGAUAACGAAUGGGUAUUGAUAGCUUGUGAUGCUGAUCUUCAAGAAUGUCUCGAGAUCCCUAGAUCCUCCCGUACUAAUGUAGUACGGCUCCUGGUUCAUGAUGUAACAGCGAACCUCGGGAGCUCCUGCGAGAGCACAGGAGAAUUGUGACCCGAGGUAAAGGUAAAUCAUUACACUAUUGUAAAUAGUUUUUACUGUUUAGGGGUUGUUUGUUUUUGUUUUUUCAAAAGAAUGUGUAUGGGGGGGACAAAGGUGUAAGAAAAAAAAACAUUUGUUUGUAACUGUAAGUGGGAGAGUGAAGUUAGAAGUCAAUUGUAGUUGAAAAACUAACUCCAGGCAUUUUUUUGUAUUUUAAUUUUGAAAUUGUAAACAAGAUUUGACAGAAAAAGCCUAAAAAUGAACAAAAUCGGAUUCUUGCAUGUGUUGAAGAUUUCUUCUACUUUCUAAGAUUCAAAAUGAAGUCAAUUUGUUAGACACUCUUAACUGCAGUUAGAAGUAUCUCCAAUCUUUUUACCCAAACAUAAAAAAUCUCCAGUUUAGCACCAGUGUGAUUUUGUCUAGGUAAAAUUUUCGAAUUACCUAAUAGAAUUAUAAAGAAAUAUGUUCAAGAUAUGAUAAAAAGAGGUAUAAAAGGGUUAAAUUGCAUUGUUUGGAAUUCAUGUACUGGCUUAUGGAUCUAAAAUCUUCUAACCAUUCAAAAGAACACUUCUCUUUUCAAAAUGCUGUAAUUAACCAGUAAGGUCAAAGAAGCAUGAAGAAACAUAUUAUUUCUCAUUUGGCCUAAAUUCAGAUUUAGAAAUGAUCCCGUCCAAUUGCUGGUCUGAGUUAGUAUAGCAGCAUAGCUGAAAGGAAAAAUUUCUAAAAAAAGGUUAUAAAGAAAAAACUGCGCAUCCAGCGAAUCGAACCCUGGUCAGUACCGUGGGAGGGUACUAUGAUACCACUACACCAGAUGCGCUUGCUUGACUGUUCUGCAAAUUAAAUCUUUAUAACAGUAUCCUUGAUUCGCUUACUCGGCAAGCGCCUCGCGUUUGGCAUUUUCGUUUCUUCAAAAUCAAACAAACAACCCCAAAUCUCUUCCCCUCUGUUAAUCGAAUUCCACCACCACCACCAAAGACGAUCUUCUUCUAAAACCCUAAUCAGAUCGGUAGAUCAUGGACAAAAGCAUCAGCAUAAGCACCAACGUUAGCACGACUACUUCCAUGGAGAAGAUCGAUCAGGCAGCGAGCUGGCUCAGCGCCACGAUCAUCUCCGCUUUCUUCGCCUCCCUCGACCGCUGCGCCUGCGUCAACCUCUCUACCUCCCAUGACGACGAAGACGAAGACAACGAAGAGUCCUACCACCGUCCCCUUGCUCUCUCCGCCGCUCCUCAUUCCAACGACACCGUUUAAGCUCCGUGUUUGACCUCUCUUGGUAAUAAAAAUCUUAUCGUGUGUUUUUUUUUUUUUUUGGCUUCCUCUGGUUAAUCGAUAAGUAAGCAUUACGUGUAAUGCUAGAUGGAUAUUUCAGACCUUUUGGAUUGUAAAUGUCAGACUCGGAACUUUGUUUUGUGAUGGUUCUCAAGUGCUUUGUCUGUUUGUCUGUACCUGAUGAUCUUACUUGGGUUUGAUGUAGUUAAGAUCAUUCGUUUGAAGUUUCUUUUGUUAAUCAAUCUUGACUUCAAGUAUUUAAGUUCAGUUUGUUUAGUGGAACUGAUCGAUAAUCAGAGAUCUGACACUUGGACAUCAAGUAGUUCCAAAUUAACACGUGUGUGUGUGUGUGUGAAAUUCGAUGCGGUCAGAGUAAAUGUCGUGUUUAACUUGAACUACCCAAUGUUGUGUUUGCUUUAGCUAGAUUCCAAGGAUUCUCUCAUAUAGAGACGAUAUUGUUUAAACGUCUUUGUCAUAUGAAAACAAAUGUUGUAUUAUAGGGACCAUCCACCGAGUCACACUCAAAACAUUAUUUUACUUUUAAUCUCAGUUGGGAUCCAAACAAACUUAUGUGUGGAUUGGUUGUUUUGUUCUUUGAGUUUCUUGAAUAUAGAUUCUUGAAAUGGAUCUCUGAUGGUUUACACCAAUUGCUAAGGAAGCAAUAUAUAUUUUUGGUUGGUAAAAUGUUAAAUUACUAUACCAAAAUUUUCAAGAUUUUACAUAACAACAUAAAAACAAAAUAGCAGUAUGCAGUAAUUAAAUCUAAACAAAACAUCUAACCAACAGAAAUUGAAAUGAAAGGUCCUUAAACUAUGAAUGAGUGGAAUGGCCGAUACAGUUACCAUGAGCUGCUGAAGGAAAGUAAAAUGUUGAAUUAACAAUGACUCUCAAGGGUCAAAACUCCAUCGUCGCAUCUUGCAUUCUGCAUCGAUGUUUUGGGUGCGUAUCAUUUCGUUUUAGGGUUUAGCAGAAUAAAAGAUAACAUAAUCUACUCCUUUUUGUUGUUAGAUUGCAUUUGAAUGGGAAUAUUGUUACGGAGUUGCAUCAUUUGUCUGUAUCUAGGAAAAGUUUAAUUUAUGGAGGGUUUGGCAUGCUUCCUCUAAUCAAGAAAUAAAAGUAAGCUCUGCUGGCUCCUAUGAUGUGUAUGUUUUGACUAUAAGCUAAAUAAUAAAUAAGUAAGGCCACCACCAACUUCUUAGGCGUGUCACUUUUCCUCCCGUGAUUACUUCUUUAAAAAGCGAGUUUAGUUUUGUUUCUUACUUUAUUAAAAAAUUACGUAUUUUCAGAAAUUGUUUGUUGAUAGGUUCGGUUCGUAUUGAAUUUGAACUCCUUGGAUACUUGAGCAUAUUGUUUAGAAAGAUCACAAAUCCACACAAACUUGCCAAACAAAUCUAAUCGUUAUCAUCCUGAACCAAUCAGAAUGACCCGUCUGACUCAGCCAGAGGGUUUACUGGUAUAUAUAUUUCCAAAAACAAGCUCUUCUUUCCUUUUUCGUAUGUGUUCUUCUUAAAACCCCUAGUCAAAGUUCAUACCUCUGGUAAUGAAUUCACACAAACAUAACACUAGUCCAAUCUCUACACUCUCCUUCUCAUCUCACUACAAAUACUCCCUCUUUGCUACCUCCUUAGACCUAAAACGACAACGUUUCACUUCUCCGUUGUUGUUGAUCUUCUUGUUCCUCUGUUUGUCUUUUGCUACUUCCAUGGCAGUCUCAGACUCAGAUUCAGACUCUGGUCCUGUUGUUCAGACGACCCCACUCGUCACCUUCCUCCAGCGCGUGCAACUCACGGCACUCCGAUCAUACUCCAAGAAGCCUGACCCUAAAUUCUACAUUGACCUGUCUCUCAAGCUCCCUCACGAUCUCUCCACCGCCGAGUCCGCCUUCGACGAUCUCACGACCGGGUCACGUGACCUGUCAGUGCCAGUGGAGAAGCUUGAAAAGUUCGUCCACGAGUACUUCGACGAUGCAGGGAAGGAUCUGGUGCACCACGAGCCAGAGGACUUCGUCUCAGAUCCCACCGAGUUCCUCCUCAACGUGGAGAACGACCAAGUCAGAGAAUGGGCGCGUGAGGUACACUGCCUUUGGAGAACCCUGAGCUGCAGAGUCUCUGACUCGGUCAUAGAGUCACCUGACCGGCACACGCUUCUCCCGUUGCCGGAACCGGUUAUCAUUCCCGGUUCGAGAUUCAGAGAAGUCUAUUACUGGGAUUCUUAUUGGGUUAUCAAGUCAGUGUUCAUCAACUUUUCAAACCAUUGUCUUUUUUUUUUCUUUCUAUAAUUUAUUCUUCAACUCCUUUUAAUAUUCCGUGUUGACUACGCAACACGAGCUCACGUGUCGAUGUCAUGUUAUGUGGUGCGCUUUUGCACGUGCAGAGGACUUUUGACGAGUAAAAUGUUCACUACGGCCAAAGGUUUAGUGACGAACCUGAUGUCACUUGUGGAGACUUAUGGUUACGCUUUGAACGGUGCUAGAGCUUAUUACACUAACCGAAGGUAAAAACCAAAACAGAUAAUCAUCGUAAAAUGUUACGUAACAGAGAGUAAUAGGCUGUUUUUUUAUUGUAACAAGCCAACCACCUCUAUUGAGCUCAAUGGUCUAUGAGAUCUAUAACGUAACCAAAGAUGAAGAACUUGUGAGGAAAGCUAUCCCUGUGCUUCUCAAAGAGUACGAGUUCUGGAACUCAGGUUAGUUUUUUAGUUGAGUUACAUAAUGAUAUGGUGUGUUCUUUCCUAUAUUUAAUGUUGGUUAUAUUAUAAGUAUCUUUUAAUUUUGUAGGAAAACAUAAGGUUGUAAUUCGAGACGCAAGUGGCAAUGAUCACAUCUUAAGCCGGUAUUACGCCAUGUGGAACAUGCCUAGACCUGAAUCCUCUGUUUUCGUAUGUUUCUUGUCUCAUUAGCUCAAGUAAACUGUAGCUUUUUUUUAACUUGGAAAAAAAUAUUUUGACUCCCUCUCUCUCUCUCUCUCGCUCACAGGAUCAAGAAUCAGCUUCGGGGUUUUCGAGUACGUUAGAGAAACAACGGUUCCAUCGAGAUAUAGCUACGGCUGCUGAAUCAGGAUGCGACUUCAGCACGAGAUGGAUGAGGUUAAAUUUAUUAUCAAAAUUGUUACUAGAAUCGUUUAUAUUACUGUCACACUUAAUUAAUAUCAAUAAUGUUUUGUGCAGACACCCUCCUAAUUUCACAACGAUGGCUACAACAUCAGUUGUUCCUGUUGAUCUAAACGUCUUUCUUCUCAAGGUUUGUUUACUUUCUUGAUCACACAUUAGAUCUCUAUUCAUUAUGGUUCAAGAUUGUACAUGACUAUGCUUGAGCCUUGUACUGAUCUUCUUUUUCCCUUAGAUGGAACUCGAUAUAGCGUUUAUGAUGGAGAUUGCUGGAGAUAGAAAAGGUUCAGAGCGUUUUGUGAAAGCGUCAGAAGCGAGAAAGAAAGCGUUUGAGACUGUGUUUUGGAAUGAAAAAGCAGCGCAGUGGCUAGAUUACUGGCUUUCCUCCAAUGGUGAUGUAAGUUAAAGAAUCUUUAGUUACAUUAUCGGAUUUGUAAUGCUAUUCAAACAUUGGGAGCACGUUUGUGUCUUCAGGAGCCUGAGACAUGGAAAGCUGAGAACCAAAACAACAAUGUUUUUGCAUCUAACUUUGCUCCAAUCUGGAUUAGUUCCUUCCAUUCAGGUAAAACUAUGUCUACAUGUUUAUUUGCACACAUUUAUUAAGUUUGAUGGGUUUACAACUUAAAACCAAUUACAAUGGCUCAUUUCCAUUAUAUACUAGUUAAUAUGAUUUCAAACUUACGAUGUGGGAGUCUUUGUCUCUAAUAACAUGUACAUGUAGAUGAAAAUCUUGUCAAGAAAGUUGUGAAGGCUCUUGCAAACUCAGGACUCAUCGCUCCCGCAGGAAUCGUAACAUCUUUGACAAACUCGGGACAACAAUGGUAAAUGAAAUUACUUGUGGUUCAAGUUUCACUUUGAAUAUUUAAAUUUCUUAACGAAACAUUUUUAACGUUGAGAUGUGCUUGCAAUGUAUUAAAGGGACGCUCCUAAUGGAUGGGCACCGCAACAAGAGCUUAUAGUUACAGGACUCGCAAGAUCUGGUCUAAAGGAAGCUAACGAGUUGGCAGAGGAGAUUGCAAGGAGAUGGAUAAGAAGUAGCUAUCGUGUUUACAAGACAAGUGGGUUUAUUCAUGAGAAGCUCAAUGUUUCAGAGUUUGGUGCAUAUGGUGGUGGAGGGGAAUAUAAGCCACAGGUAAAACAUUUUUAGUUUAAGCACUCUAAUUCAACUUCUUUUACUUAGUUAGCUAUUAAGGGGUCUAAAAUGCAGAAAACAUAGUUUUUUUGGUGUAACAUAGUUAUAUUCUUGGAGAAAAUUCUAGUUAUAUUAGCAUUCUUGACUUUUAUCUUGCAGACGGGAUUUGGAUGGUCAAACGGAGUUAUAUUAGCAUUCUUGGAGGAGUUUGGAUGGCCCUCUGACCUGAGCAUUGAACCGUAGAUUUACUACUUUCGUAUUAAACAUUAAAUAAAGGAAUUACUUCAUAAUUUGCAAUUUUAUUUAAACUUUAUGAUAGUGGGAAUUUACUAGUAGUUUCACUUUUUGUGUGGAUUCGGUUAGAAUGUUUUGGUGUUCCAGAUAUUUUGUGAUCGAUAUAAUCAUCAUCCCAACUUAUGAUCGAUUUCAAUCUAGUUCAUUUAUAUUUUUCACUAAAAAGAGCUAGGCAAACGACAUUCUAUACAAUAUAACCAAAAGAUCCAAUGAUUCUUCAUAAAAUCGGUCCACAGUUAAUUCAGACCAUGCAAACCAAAAUUUACGAUACUAAACCAAAGAAAUCAAUUUGAAUACGGUUUAGGCUGUUCAAUCUAUUUAAACCACUCAUAAGUCAUAACCAUAUUAGUAUCUAAAAUAGAUGAAUGGUAUUGACUUAACCAAAAUUGUAUGAAGAAAGCAUUUUGGACUUUAUUUAUAUAAAAUAGAUCAACGAUUGAUAUGACUUAUGAGCUAACUAAAAUACUGUUUAUGGUGUUCAAAAUCCAGAAAAAUUGUUUGAAAUACACUAAGGGGGUGUAUUCAAUAUAACAUUUAAGGUGAUUUGAUUUCUAAUGGAGUUUUAAAUGAUUUUAAUAAAUUGCAGAAAUUUAGGUAGUUUUUGUUAAACCUCUAGAAUAUGACCUAAAACCAUGAGAUUUGGGUUUUAAUUUUUUUAACUAAAAAACUUCACCCAAACACCUUAAAAUCACUUGAAAACUUUAAAACUUCACAACUUAAAAUAUUUUCAAUAACAAUGAAUUUUAGAGUACUCUACGAAAUGUUAAGUUCAAUAACAGUGGAUUUUAAAUGAGUUUUUAAAAUUUAUGUUUGAAUAACAGUGGAUUUGUCAUUUUAAUACAUAUCACCUAAAACUCUCAGUUGAAUACACUUGAAUACCACUUUUCAUAAAUACACAAUUAAAAAUAUCAUAACAUUUGUGUUUAUGUUUAGUAAUUAUUGUUUAGGGCUUUGUAUUUAUGGGUGUAUUUGAGUUUGUAAACUUCUAUAAAUAAUUUAGGAGGAUUAUUUUUGUCUUUUUCAUAACAAUUUAAAUUAUUUAUGAAAAUAAUUAUCAUUUGAAAAGUAAUGUUUAAUUCAAGAUAAAGUUUUUUUUCCUUUCAAAAAUUAUUGAUUCAUUUUGUAUAUUAAACUAAGUUUUAUUCCAUUGAGAAAAAAAUAUUCCAGGAAACUUCUAAAUACUCAGUUAAACAUUGACACUGUUGGUUGAAUACUGCAUGGAAAGAAAACAUAAUAGUACAAAUCUAUGAAAGAUUAGCUUUGAUCCAAAACUCCCAUAACAUUUAAUUGCGGCACGCAAAGCUGCGGCUACAUCCAAUGAAUUUCGGCCUGCCCAGCUAUAGGCAUGUCCACAUACUAAGUCGAGAGCAGACUAAAGCAAUUCACAUCCAAUUACGAUUAUAAAACUAUGGAAUCCAACACUUCAUUUGGUGUUAUAUGAGUUGUUGGAUUGAAAUGGUGAGUGGGGGCUAAAUUAUUCAUUGAUGCUACUUAAAUAAGUGAUUAAUGACUGUUGCGUGAUCAAAAAAGUAGAUUAUUACUUAUUAGUCAAAUAUAGUUGGCAAACCAAAAAAUUUUAGUCUAUGAUUUCCGCUUAAUCAUCAGUUAUUAAAUCUAAGCUGGAAAAAGGUUCAUAUAAGUUGGAAAAAGUUGAUCAUAAUCAGAAUCUGCGUUUGGAUGAAUCAGAUUGUACCCGACGAAUCCUAAUAGAAAAAUUGAGAUAAUGGGUCGGUCAUUUUAUAAAAGGGAUAAUAAAUUAGACGGCCAUAAACUAAUCUUGGAAUCGGAAACACAAGUUGCAAUGAUAUUAAACUAUUGGCUAUGAACUUAAAAUCACAUUAAAAAUACAGAUUGGAAAAAUAAUGGUUAACAGUUUAGAUUAUGACAACGGAUGAUGCAUAGAGAGAGAAUCUUCCGGCCAAGUAGGGAUUGGUUUGCUGCUGGUCAAAAUUCAUUUUGUUUCCCAAAAUCCCAUGUGCACUUUCUCAUUAGUCAAACUUAAAGAUGUUUAAGAUUGGAAAUAGAAUACCAUUUAGUUUCCUAAACAUUUGAGUCAUACUGAUACUGAUCUUUUUUUCAUUUCAGACAUCCUUUUAUCUCGGUUAUAAAAAUGAUUUUUCAAUUUAUUCAAAGGUGAAAUACUAAUGAUCUAUGAAUAUAGGAGCUGGACAAUGAGUAUCAUUGCAUAAGAGCACAUGUAAUAUAAGUGUGAAGAUUGGUACGUAAUAUUUCUUCUCCUUUAUGAGUAUUGCAUAUAUAUAUUCGGACUAUAUAUAAGUAAAUUUCUUAACGUUUUUAUAAUUUUUAAUAAUAAUUAUUCAAUUUAUAUGGUGUCAUCUUUGUGUUGUAUGAUUGAACCAGAAAUUGUCCCAUGACACCUUUUCGCUUGAUAAGAAGGACGCCAUUCCAUUCGCUAUGAUGAGGAACUUCACCUUUAUAUAACUAUAACAAAAGAGAAACGCAUAAGCCAGAAAAGAAUAUUCAUCAUAGAAUACAAUAGAAAAGGUACUUUUAAUUUCGGUAGAAUAUGUAAUUGAUAACUACGCAUAUUAUAUAUCAAGUUCGUCAUCCUAAAUGGUGGUUUGAGACGAUUAUUGAAAGUGACAGUAGCAUCGUCAAACCAAUUUUAUUUCCUGACAUGCUGUUAACUUAACUAAAGAGGUGGUUUAAUGUGAUAUACUUUGUUAGAAAAUGAUGAUAUAUAUCUUGGUUAUGUAAGUUAAAAAAAAAUAUUGUAAUACAUAUUCAUCAUCGACCUUGACGAAAAGACAGUAUUGAUCCAAGUAAGACAUGUGUAUGUAUGACUUCGUUGGCCCUAGCAAUUUGUUAUCUGAAAAAAACUGAUUUGCCAUUAUCUAGUUUCCCAGUUUUUCCUUUGUUUCAAACCGAUGGUAUAUUAUAUUUGUCUAUUCUAGAUUCACUCUAAGUUCUUUUUAAUAACUACGAUUAAUUCUACGUACCGAAAGAGUUGAAUGGAACGAUUAAUUACACCGAAAGCAUAUUACUACAUAGGUUAUAUGACUUUGUAAAAAGUCUAUACUCUAAUAGUAUUCCUAUUUGAAGUAUGUUUUCUUGUAAAUAUGUUCACUCGUGAGAGUUGCAUGUGAGCUUUAUAAGUAUUUAACAAACUUUCGAACGUAUCCUCACAAAGGCUAGUUACGAAGUUAACAAUAUAGAUGCCUUCAAAAUUAUAUUGUAGGUUACGGUCGUUACAGAAGCAUGAUGAACACUGAAUUAUUCAAAAAUGAUUGAUCGCUAGAUUACUACAAAUUAAAUAAAUGAUCGGUGACCGUGUUCGAAGGGAGAAGAAGAGCGAGCCAGCACGCAGUUUGCAAACCUCACGUGCGUAAGCCUUCUUGCAAGAUUCUUCUUAGGCCAACAUUAUCAGUUAGUCCCUUAAGGGUCCCUAAGGAGGGGGAGGGGCCACAAAACAUCAGGACCGAGGAAAAAAGAAGAGAAAAAGUUCUUAAAUAAGGGACAAAUGAGGUGAGUCCUUGUGAAUCCUUGUACUAUUCAUUUGGGGACCUUCAUCUGGGGACAUAUUGAUAAUGUUGCCCUUAAAUGUUUCUACAUGCUACUCCUACGUUGCUACUCCUGUCGUUUACACAUUCACCCAUUCAACUACUCGCCGUCUCACCUUCGUCACAAAGUCAU
rnacentral:lncRNA from 1 species